AGCAUCAUGAUAGUAGAUUGAUUUAGUACGAGAGGAACUGUGAUUAUGGCCUCUGGUUAGCGAUUAUCGGAAACGGUAUGUCGCGCAGCUACGCCGUCUGGGAUAAUGGCUGAAAGCCUCUUAAGCCAGAAGCCCAUCUAGAAAGUGAUGCACGUGAUGUUGGACCGAUACGAAUAAUCAUACUCAAAAGGUCCGCUUCAUAGGUAACCCAAUGUAGAAGACAUUGUGUGAACGAAGGUACUGUAAGCAGUGGAGUGGCAUUACGUCCACGACCUGUUGAGGUUCAGCUUCGCUUCUAGGUUUCC
rnacentral:ncRNA from 1 species